AAUGACCGCUGGCGGAAGGCAUACCACAGGCAAGUCGAACGAGUGGCGGACGGGUGAGUAAUGUCUGGGAAACUGCCUGAUGGAGGGGGAUAACUACUGGAAACGGUAGCUAAUACCGCAUACCAUCAGAUGUGGCAAGAUGGGAUUAGCUGGUGGGUGGGGUAACGGCUCACCAAGGCGACGAUCCCUAGCUGGUCUGAGAGGAUGACCAGUCACACUUGAACUGAGACACGGUCCAGACUCCUACGUGAGGCAGCAGUGGGGAAUAUUGCACAAUGGGCGAAAGCCCGAUGCAGCCAUGCCGCGUGUAUGAAGAAGGCCUUCGGGUUGUAAAGUACUUUCAGCGGGGAGGCGUUACCCGCAGAAGAAGCACCGGCUAACUCCGUGCCAGCAGCCGCGGUAAUUC
rnacentral:rRNA from 1 species